UACGUAGGGUGCAAGCGUUGUCCGGAAUUAUUGGGCGUAAAGAGCGUGUAGGCGGUUUGGUAGGUCCGCUGUGAAAACUCGAGGCUCAACCUCGAGACGCCGGUGGAAACCAUCAGGCUAGAGUCCGGAAGAGGAGAGUGGAAUUCCUGGUGUAGCGGUGAAAUGCGCAGAUAUCAGGAAGAACACCCGUGGCUAAGGCGGCUCUCUAGUACGGUACUGACGCUGAGGAGCGAAAGCGUGGGGAGCGAACAGG
rnacentral:rRNA from 1 species